GACGAACGCUGGCGGCGUGCUUAACACAUGCAAGUCGAACGGAAAGGCCCUUCGGGGUACUCGAGUGGCGAACGGGUGAGUAACACGUGGGUGAUCUGCCCUGCACUUUGGGAUAAGCCUGGGAAACUGGGUCUAAUACCGAAUAGGACCACGCGCUUCAUGGUGUGUGGUGGAAAGCUUUUGCGGUGUGGGAUGGGCCCGCGGCCUAUCAGCUUGUUGGUGGGGUAAUGGCCUACCAAGGCGACGACGGGUAGCCGGCCUGAGAGGGUGACCGGCCACACUGGGACUGAGAGACGGCCCAGACUCCUACGGGAGGCAGCAGUGGGGAGUAUUGCACAAUGGGCGCAAGCCUGAUGCAGCGACGCCGCGUGAGGGAUGACGGCCUUCGGGUUGUAAACCUCUUUCACCAGGGACGAAGCGUAAGUGACGGUACCUGGAGAGGAAGCACCGGCCAACUACGUG
rnacentral:rRNA from 1 species